AUUGAACGCUAGCGGGAUGCCUUACCCAUGCAAGUCGAACGGAGUGGCGAACGGGUGAGUAAUGUAUCGGAACGUGCCCAGUAGCGGGGGAUAACUACGCGAAAGCGUAGCUAAUACCGCAUACUAUUGGAGCGGCCGAUAGCGGAUUAGCUAGUUGGUGGGGUAACGGCUACCCAAGGCGCAGAUCCGUAGCUGGAUUGAGAGGACGACCAGCCAAGUUGGGAGUGAGACACGGCCCAGACUCCUACGGUAGGCCGCAUGGGGGAAUUUGGGACAAUGGGGGAAACCCUGAUCCAGCCAGCCCGCGUGUGCGAUGAAGGCCUGCGGGGUGUAAAGCACUUUUGUCAGGAAAGCGGUACCUGCAGAAUAAGCACCGGCUAACUACGUGCCAGCAGCCGCGGUAAUAC
rnacentral:rRNA from 1 species